UACGUAGGGGGCAAGCGUUGUCCGGAAUCAUUGGGCGUAAAGAGCGUGUAGGCGGCCCGGUAAGUCCGCUGUAAAAGUCAAAGGCUCAACCUUUGAAUGUCAGUGGAUACUGCCGGGCUAGAGUCCGGAAGAGGCGAGUGGAACUCCUGGUGUAGCGGUGGAAUGCGCAGAUAUCAGGAAGAACACCAACGGCGAAGGCAGCUCGCUAGGACGGUACUGACGCUGAGACGCGAAAGCGUGGGGAGCGAACAGG
rnacentral:rRNA from 1 species